rnacentral:lncRNA from 1 species
AGAGCUGCGCGCUGAUGCUAUCUCUGUAAUUCUUCGUGCAGCAUUCUCAAAGCCCCUUUAUUCAGAUCCUCAAUGCAGAAGGUCUACCACGCCAGCCACCUUCCUGUCAGGUGUCUGGUAAGCAGGUUAACUGAUCUGUCGAUUAGGAGCCGCCAGCCUACGUGCAGCGACUGGGGAACGCAGCCCUUCCCGGUGUCUGCCUUGCCAGCGCUAACUGCAAACCAGUGACGCAAACUGUCUCACGGAGAACCUCAUCAAGCACCUCGCCGAGAGUAGCCUAGGUCGGCUAAGAAGCCAAACUUAGGCUGCGACCCCGUAGUGCUCCUCAGAGCUCGCUGACGACAAGCCUCCCGGAAUGCUUUCGGGCUGGUCCAGGAGCCAGCCAGGGGAGAGUCGGCUUUAUUCAUUAAUUGAGACAGAAACGGCAUAUCCCUAUGACAUUAAACGCAAAAUGUUGAGGUUGGGAAAGGGGAAGAGAAGGAAAAAGGAGGCGAGGAAAGAGGGAGAGAGGAGGCGGGGGGGAAUAGGAGGAGGAGAACCAGGGAAAGGAGGCGGGGAUGUCUGAGCCAUUGGUUUUCAAUAAGAGUUGCACAGACAAGGAAGGAGAAGAGAGGGGGACGGAGGAGGGAGAAAAGAGAGAGGGAAGAGCAGAAGGGGUGAGAGAGGAGUGGGAGGAGAAAGGAAAGGGAGGGUGUGUGGGGGAGGCCCUGAGUUAUGAUGCACAUGAACUUGGCCAAGGCUCUUUCGCGGCCCCCCGCGGCGGGCUUUCCCACGCAGUCAAGGUGACCCGGUGAUCUAUGGGGCUGUGGUGGUCGUCGUUUCGAGGUGGGAGGGCUGCCCCCUCCGCAGGGGCCCCUGGGGCGCCGCCCGCGUGACUGUCACCGGUCACGCGGCAAGACUCAGGCAGGGACAAUGAGAAAAGCCAGCGGGAGCCGCGGGGCUCCGCUGAGGCUGCCGCUGCUCUUUUGCAGGGCCGGGCCCCGCGGGCUCCCUUCCUCCCUCCUGGGACCCACUCCAGGAGCCUUGCCGCCUGUCUGGUGUAACUUGUCUGAAACCCAGGAGUCAAGACGAAGUCCUGAAGAAAGCACUUCAGACUGUUUCCAGGCCUCAAGAGAUAGCUAAACUUAUUAAUGCUGUCUCCCUUUUAUUGGAUGUGUGCCUCAAAGAGCAUUUUUCUCACCCUAUUCAAUUAGUUACAAGUCUCUUCCCUUACGUUUAUGUAAUCUGAGCUAGGACCACUUGGGACUAGUGGCCUGACUGCCUCUCCCUGAACAGGGACCAGAGCAUUGCUGCCACUUGCCAGCUGACCCCAGGCCACUGCAGUCUAGCCUCAUUCGCUUGCUUCUAUCCUUCCCAGGGAGCUUCAUUUCUAGAGAAAGUUUCCUUUUCCACGCAGUUUAUGCGUCCCGAGGCCUGGGCCCACACUAACUUCUGUGUGAAAGUUGGUGUGCUGAGCUCAGGCCAAGGCCAAGCUCUGUUCUCGACAGACCCUCCAAGGUACAUAUUAAUAACCACCUGCCUAGUUCUCAUCAUGUGCUUUAUAAUGUCUUCUUUAAACCCUCAACAGCCUGUUUUAUGAUGGUCAAAAAAGCUUGGGAUAGGUGAGAUGGCUCAGUGGGCAACAGUACUUGUCUCUAAGCCAGACUAAACUUUGAUUUCCUGGAUACACGUGGAGGACCCCAUCAAGUUGUUCCCUGACCUGGGAGGAAACACAAAAGUCAGAUGUGAUCAAUUUAUUAUU